GACGAACGCUGGCGGCGUGCUUAACACAUGCAAGUCGAACGGAAAGGCCCUGCUUUUGUGGGGUGCUCGAGUGGCGAACGGGUGAGUAACACGUGAGUAACCUGCCCUUGACUUUGGGAUAACUUCAGGAAACUGGGGCUAAUACCGGAUAGGAGCUCCUGCUGCAUGGUGGGGGUUGGAAAGUUUCGGCGGUUGGGGAUGGACUCGCGGCUUAUCAGCUUGUUGGUGGGGUAGUGGCUUACCAAGGCUUUGACGGGUAGCCGGCCUGAGAGGGUGACCGGCCCCAUUGGGAAUGGGAUACGGCCCAGAAUCCUACCGGAGGCAACCGUGGGGAAUAUUGCCCAAUGGGCGGAAGCCUGAUGCAGCAACGCCGCGUGCGGGAUGACGGCCUUCGGGUUGUAAACCGCUUUCGCCUGUGACGAAGCGGGAGUGACGGUAAUGGGUAAAGAAGCACCGGCUAACUACGUG
rnacentral:rRNA from 1 species